rnacentral:rRNA from 1 species
UACGGAGGGUGCGAGCGUUGUUCGGAAUCACUGGGCGUAAAGCGCGUGUAGGCGGCUCGGCAAGUCGGAUGUGAAAGCCCUGGGCUCAACCUAGGAAGUGCAUUCGAAACUGCAGAGCUUGAGUUCUGGAGAGGAAGGCGGAAUUCUCGGUGUAGAGGUGAAAUUCGUAGAUAUCGAGAGGAACACCUGUGGCGAAGGCGGCCUUCUGGACAGUGACUGACGCUGAGACGCGAAAGCGUGGGGAGCAAACAGG